rnacentral:rRNA from 1 species
AUACGUAGGGUGCGAGCGUUGUCCGGAAUUACUGGGCGUAAAGAGCUCGUAGGUGGUUUGUCGCGUCGUCUGUGAAAUCCCGGGGCUUAACUUCGGGCGUGCAGGCGAUACGGGCAUAACUUGAGUGCUGUAGGGGAGACUGGAAUUCCUGGUGUAGCGGUGAAAUGCGCAGAUAUCAGGAGGAACACCAAUGGCGAAGGCAGGUCUCUGGGCAGUAACUGACGCUGAGGAGCGAAAGCAUGGGUAGCGAACAGGAUUAGAUACCCUGGUAGUCCAUGCCGUAAACGGUGGGCGCUAGGUGUAGGGGACUUCCACGUCUUCUGUGCCGCAGCUAACGCAUUAAGCGCCCCGCCUGGGGAGUACGGCCGCAAGGCUAAA